rnacentral:rRNA from 1 species
CCGGUCGGCUCUCUUCGCGAGUGCCGAUUGGAAGGGGGACCGGCGUCCCGUGACUCUUUCUCCAGGGGCCGCCCAAUAGGUCAUAGUAGAGCGUCGCGGCCGUUGAAGCGGUGUCGAUGGCCCGGGGGCUGGGAACCGCAUCGUCUCGAAUUUUUUUCGAGUCGGGCGGGGACGCCUCGGUGUUCUGACGGCCGCCUCGACGGUUGACUGUGAAAGGAACGGAGCGAUUGCGGGGAAGCGGCGGGAUUAUCCCUUCGGGGGUCUUCCUUAGCCGUCUCCCGAGUAAACGAUCCUCAACUCCGUUACGCGGCGCAGGUAUCUGCUAUUGCCUACUCGUCCCGUCUUGAAACACGGACCAAGGAGUCUAGAUUAUGCGCGAGUCAAAGGGCUGGCUAAACCCUAAGGCGAAACGAAAGUGAAUGGAGGAGCGCGGGGUGAUAGGCGCGCGGCGCUCGUCGUCGUCGCCUCUCUCUCCCGCUACUCCUCCUUGGGCCGAUCCGUUUCGGGGGUCAUUCCCCGAUUUACCUCGAUUUAACAGGAGGGCGGCGCAGGUCCGGGGCUCGCCAGCUUCCUCCCCUUCGCUAACGCGAACGUCGGUUGCUAUUAGGGAUCGUCGUGGCGCUCUUCCCGGUUCGGACGUCGUCGUCGCUUAGCCACUCGUGGCGGCGACGGCGGCGAAUGGGCUUGGAUACGAGCGUCUCGGCCGGUCCCGAGGGCGUCGGCUCGCGGAAGGGGUCGAGCGGCGGGUACCUUGAGCGCAUAGUCUAGUACCCGAAAGAUGGUGAUCUAUGCCUGGCCAGGAUGAAGCCAGAGGAAACUCUGGUGGAGGUCCGAAGCGGUUCUGACGUGCAAAUCGAUCGUC